UACAUGGGGUGCAAACGUUGCUCGGAAUUAUUGGGCGUAAAGCGCACGUAGGCGGUUUGUUAAGUCGGAUGUGAAAGCCCUUGGCUCAACUGAGGAAGUGCAUCCGAAACUGGCAAGCUAGAGUACUAAAGAGGAUCGCGGAAUUCCCGGUGUAGAGGUGAAAUUCGUAGAUAUCGGGAGGAACACCAGUGGCGAAGGCGGCGAUCUGGGUGGAUACGUGACGCUGAGGUGCGAAAGCGUGGGGAGCAACAGG
rnacentral:rRNA from 1 species